rnacentral:sRNA from 1 species
UGCAAUUCUUGACGUAGUCUUCGAUGUC